AUACGUAGGGGGCGAGCGUUGUCCGGAAUGAUUGGGCGUAAAGGGCGCGUAGGCGGCGCGGUAAGUCUGGAGUGAAAGUCCUGCUUUCAAGGUGGGAAUUGCUUUGGAUACUGCCGCGCUUGAGUGCAGGAGAGGAUAUCGGAAUUCCCGGUGUAGCGGUGAAAUGCGUAGAGAUCGGGAGGAACACCAGUGGCGAAGGCGGCUAACUGGACUGCAACUGACGCUGAGGCGCGAAAGUGUGGGGAGCAAACAGGAUUAGAUACCCUGGUAGUCCACACUGUAAACGAUGAAUGCUAGGUGUAAGAGGUAUCGACCCCUUUUGUGCCGGAGUCAACACAAUAAGCAUUCCGCCUGGGGAGUACGGCCGCAAGGUUGAAACUCAAAGGAAUUGACGGGG
rnacentral:rRNA from 1 species